UGACGGUUUUGGGAUCAUAUGGAUUUCUUGUUAGGGAAUAACAAAUACCGUUAAAAAACGUGUGAACCUUGGGGGUGCCUAACGAGAAGACCCCGGAAAACGACGUGCCAGCAUCCGCGAUAAUAUUUAUGUGGCCCGCGUUGUCUGGAAAUAUUGGGCGUAAAGGGCUCACAUGCGGUUUCUUAAGUCUGAUGUGAAAGCCCCCGGCUCGCCGGGGAGGGUGAUUGGAAACUGGGGAACUUGAGUGCGAAGAAGAGAGUGGAAUUGCACGAGUGGCGGUGAGUGCGUAGAGAUGAGGAGGAACACCAGUGGCGAAGGCUACUCUCUGUUCUGUAGCUGACGCUGAUGAGCGAAAGCGUGGGGAGCGAACAGGAUUAAAUACACUGGUAGUCCACGCCGUACACGAUGAGUGCUAAUUGUUAGGGGUUUCCUCCCCUUAUGCUGCAGCUAACGCAUUAAGCACUCCGCCUGGGGAGUACGGUCGCAAGACUGAAACUCAAAAGGAGAUUGACCGGGCGCCCGCACCAGCGGUGGAGCAUGUGGUUUAAUUCUAAGCAACGCGAAGACCUUACCUGUCUUGACUCCUCUGACAAUCCUAUACAUAGGACCUCCCCUUCGGGGCAAGUCACAGUGGUGCAUGGUUCUCGUCUGCUCCUGUCGUGAAUGUUGGUUAAGUCCCGCACCAGCGCACUCCUUUGAUCUUAUUUGCCAGCUAUCUAUGGUCAACUCUGGGGUGACCUGCCCGGAUGACAACCUGAGAAAGAUGGAGAUGACUUC
rnacentral:rRNA from 1 species